rnacentral:rRNA from 1 species
UACGAAGGGGGCUAGCGUUGCUCGGAAUCACUGGGCGUAAAGCGCACGUAGGCGGCUUCUUAAGUCAGGGGUGAAAUCCUGGAGCUCAACUCCAGAACCGCCUUUGAUACUGAGGAGCUUGAGUCCGGGAGAGGUGAGUGGAACUCCGAGUGUAGAGGUGAAAUUCGUAGAUAUUGGGAAGAACACCGGUGGCGAAGGCGGCGACCUGGUCCUUGACUGACGCUGAGGCGCGAAAGCGUGGGGAGCAAACAGG